GUGGCCACUUUGGGGACGUUGGUGGCCACUUUGGGGACGUUGGUGGCCACAUCAGAGACGUUGGUGGCCACGGGGGUGGCACCAGUAGCUCCAGCAUUGACACUGGUCAUACUGGUGGCCACAUUGGGGACGUUGGUGGCCACGGCGGUGGCCCCAGUAGCUCCAGCGUUGAUACUGGUGACACUGGUGGCCACAGCGCGGACGGUGGUGGCCACAGCAGGGAGGUUGGUGGCCACAGCGGGGACGUUGGUGGCCACGGAGGUGGCACCGGUAGCUCCAGCGUUGAUACUGGUGACACUGGUGGCCACGGUGGGGACGCUGGUGGCCACCGCAGAGAGGUUGGUGGCCCUGGGGCCACUGGUCAAACUGGUGGCCACGGUGGGGACGUUGGUGGCCUUGGGAGCGACGGCGACGCUGGUGGCCACUGGGGUGACGCUGGUGGCCACGGUGGCUGCAGGGGUGGCCUUGGGAGCGCUGGUGGCCACGGAGGGGACACUGGUGGCCACGGGGGUGACGGUGACACCGGCCGGAGCGGUGGCCUUAACGCUGGUGGCCACGGAGGGGACACUGGUGGCCACAGCGCGGACGGUGGUGGCCACAGCAGGGAGGUUGGUGGCCACAGCGGGGACGUUGGUGGCCACGGAGGUGGCACCGGUAGCUCCAGCGUUGAUACUGGUGACACUGGUGGCCACGGUGGGGACGCUGGUGGCCACCGCAGAGAGGUUGGUGGCCCUGGGGCCACUGGUCAAACUGGUGGCCACGGUGGGGACGUUGGUGGCCUUGGGAGCGACGGCGACGCUGGUGGCCACUGGGGUGACGCUGGUGGCCACGGUGGCUGCAGGGGUGGCCUUGGGAGCGCUGGUGGCCACGGAGGGGACACUGGUGGCCACGGGGGUGGCGUUGGUAGCCCUGGGGCCAUCCCUGGGACCAGUCACAGCGGUGGCCACCGCAGGGGGGAUGGUGGCCACGCUGGCCUUGGGGGUGACGUUGGUGGCCACGCUGGCCUUGGUGGCCCCCAUGGCAGCAGUGAUGGCCCCCGGGGUGAGGUUGGUGGCCACGGGGGGCUUGGUGGCCCCUGGGGUGACGACGGUGGCCACGGUGGCCCCUGGGGUGGCUUUGGUGGCCCCGGGGGUGACAACAGUGGCCCCCGGGGUGGCUUUGGUGGCCACUGGGGUGACAGAGUCCACGGCGACCCCUGCGGUGGCUUUGGUGGCCACUGGGGUGAGGGUGGUGGCCACGGUGGCGUUGGUGGCCCCCAGGGUGGCGUUGGUGGCCACGGUGGCUUUGGUGGCCCCUGGGGUGACAACGGUGGCCACGGUGGAGUUAGUAGCCCCCACGGAGACGUUGGUGGCCCCCGGGGUGACAACGGUGGCCACGGAGACGUUGGUGGCCCCCGGGGUGGCGUUGGUGGCCACGGAGACGUUGGUGGCCCCCAUGGAGACGUUGGUGGCCACGGAGACGUUGGUGGCCCCCGGGGUGACGUUGGUGGCCCCCGGGGUGCCAGCGACAGCGGUGGCCUUGGGGGUGACAUUAGUGGCCACGGGGGCGCCGCUGGUGGCCACGGGGGCGCCGCCGUCCACGGUGGCCUUGGGGGUGACGUUAGUAGCCACAGGGGUGACGUUAGUAGCCCGGGGGGCGCCGCCGGUAGCCACAGCGACCUUGGUGGCCCCCGGGGUGGCCGGGGGGGCCUUGGUGAGGUUGGUGGCCACAGGGGAGGGGCNNNNNNNNNNNNNNNNNNNNNNNNNNNNNNNNNNNNNNNNNNNNNNNGAUGUGACGGGGGAGGGCGGGGCCGGCGGCUUCGAGGGCGUGGCUGCGGGUGAUGACGUCACCGAUGAUGUCAUCGAUGAGGUUGACGUCACGGAUGAUGUCAGGGAUGACGUCACGGAUGGUGACGUCCCGGGUGAUGUCACCGAUGAUGUCACCGCCGGCCCCGAUGAGGUCACCGAGGGCUUUGACGUCACUGAUGACGUCAUCGGCGGCCCCGCUGAGGUCUUUGACGCCGCUGCUGAUGUCAUCAAUGACGUCACUGACGGCCCUGCUGAGGUCACUGCGGGCUUUGACGUCGCUGCUGAUGUCAUCGCCGGCCCCGAUGAGGUCACCGCCGCCUUGGACGCUGCUGCUGAUGUCAUCGAUGACGUCACCGCCGCCCCUGGUGAUGUCACUGCUGCCUUCGACGCCGCUGAUGUCACCGCCGGCCCUGGUGACGUCACCGAGGGCUUCGACGUCACCGAUGAUGUCACUGAUGACCCCGCUGAGGUCACCGCGGCCUUGGACGGCGCCGAUGACGUCGUAGACGGCGCCGAUGACGUCACUGGCGUCUUCGAUGACGUCACGGGCGACGCCCCCGCGGGCCCUGAUGAUGUCACCGCCGUCGACGCCUUCGGUGACGUCACGGGGGGCGCUGACGUCAUCGUCGACGUCAUCGUUGACGUUGUCGUCGCCGUCGUUGUUGAUGAUGUCAUCGGGGGGGUCGAUGAUGUCAUCGGGGAGGCGGAUGAUGUCAUCGGGGGGGUCGCUGACGUCACGGCCUUGCCGUCGGGCCCCGCCCCCGCCCCGGUAGCCCCCCUGGGGGGGUCGGUCGCCCCCUGGUUUCCGGUUCCCCCCCCCUCGGUGCCGGGCGGGGCGGG
rnacentral:lncRNA from 1 species